UAUAAGUUAUGUACUUGGCGCAAAUGAUCACUUAUAUAUAGAAGGCAAGGCUUGUUACAGAGAGGACAGUCUCUUUUGUGCUUAUAGGGCAUGUUGACACUUUGAAAGUUCAAUCAUAAAUGACCGAGAAUAAAUGGNNNNNNNNNNNNNNNNNNNNCCCAAUGAAUGCGAAUACUUCUCUGCUCCUCGUACACGAUACGAUUGUUUUCCAAUAUUUGUUGGACAAAAUAAGUUUUCCCACUUUGGCUCGGACCCACGACCAUUAGCGAAAAUUUAUGGCGGAAGUUGAAUUCUGGAUAGGGUUUGGUGGUCAAAGAUGAUGUAACUUUCGGUACGGUUUUUGUUGGUUUUAGUACAGACCUUGUUUUCUUUCGAACACAUUUCAUUUCUUUUAGUAUAUGUGCCGGUCGUAUCGGCAGCAAAUUUGAGUUGUGGCUAUGCGGUGCUGAGAACCUCGCCCUUCCUAACCACUUUUUCCUUUGAUCUCCGUAUAAGUUAUGUACUUGGCGCAAAUGAUCACUUAUAUAUAGAAGGCAAGGCUUGUUACAGAGAGGACAGUCUCUUUUGUGCUUAUAGGGCAUGUUGACACUUUGAAAGUUCAAUCAUAAAUGACCGAGAAUAAAUGGUUUGAAAACAUUUAUAUAUAUAUUUUUUACGGCGACAUGUGGGUGUGACGUAGGGUCAAUGUAGGGUCGAUGUAGGGUCGAUGUGGGGUCGAUGUGGGUUCGAUGUAGGGUCGAUGUAGGGUCGAUGUAGGGUCGAUGUAGGGUCGAUGUAGGGUCGAUGUAGGGUCGAUGUGGGGUCGAUGUGGGGUCGAUGUAGGGUCGAUGUAGGUUCGAUGUAGUAUAGGAGUUAGGAGCCAUCCAACAAAUAUUGGAAAACAAUCGUAUCGUGUACGAGGAGCAGAGAAGUAUUCGCAUUCAUUGGUGCUACAAUCAAUGGCAAGAUCGUUACGAUGAGUUAAAAAAGUCCCUUGGGAAAAGUAUCCGAUUUCAAAGAGGUUUGCCCGAGUUGUCCGAGGAUCUGAGUGAGAUUAAUACCUGUUACAACAACGU
rnacentral:lncRNA from 1 species